CCUACGGGAGGCUGCAGUGGGGGAUAUUGCACAAUGGGGGGAACCCUGAUGCAGCGACGCCGCGUGGGUGAAGGAGUGCUUCGGCAUGUAAAGCCCUAUCGGCAGGGAAGAAGCAAGACGGUACCUGACUAAGAAGCCCCGGCUAACUACGUGCCAGCAGCCGCGGUAAUACGUAGGGGGCGAGCGUUAUCCGGAUUCACUGGGUGUAAAGGGAGCGUAGACGGCCAUGCAAGCCAGGGGUGAAAGCCCGGGGCCCAACCCCGGGACUGCCCUUGGAACUGCAUGGCUGGAGUGCGGGAGGGGCAGGCGGAAUUCCUGGUGUAGCGGUGAAAUGCGUAGAUAUCAGGAGGAACACCGGCGGCGAAGGCGGCCUGCUGGACCGCGACUGACGUUGAGGCUCGAAAGCGUGGGGAGUGAACAGGAUUAGAUACCCCAGUAGUC
rnacentral:rRNA from 1 species